GCCGGCGUGGCGGAAUUGGUAGACGCAGCGGAUUCAAAAUCCGCCGGCCUAAAAACCUUGUCGGUUCGAGUCCGACCGCCGGUACCA
rnacentral:tRNA from 1 species